CAGAUGCUUGCUCGGAUAAGAACAGAGAAUCAGCCGUGUCUGCAGUCCAUGUGACUCAGGAUUAUUUUUGGUUAUGAGAGAGCGACCCUGUGAAGUAACCAAGAGUAACCUCCCAGUGUUGUCUCUGAGUGCAUUGAGGCAGAGAGCCUACUGGUCAGCUGUCAUACUCCAAUAAAGUCUCCAGAUGGAUUCACAAAAGAUCCCUGCGCUGACAGGUCGACACCAUCAUGUCAUGCUUCCUGUUUCAAGAUGCUGACAAAUCUGCUUCCUGUGCUUCACACCUCUGAAAACUUUGAGGAUAUUAUAGCAGUGAACGCUGUAAAGGCUGUCUGGCUUGGUUCGAAUGUGGGUCGGAAUGACUGGAACGUUCCGCCUGUUUGAGAGGCAGAGCCUGCUGAUCCAAGCAGAAAACUUGAAGAUUUUUUAUCCUUGAGAGGCCUGUUUCUGUCACUGCUCAGCGGACCAGUGUGUGCCUCACGCGGACCAGCACCGGUCCC